rnacentral:rRNA from 1 species
GAUGAACGCUGGCGGCGUGCCUAAUACAUGCAAGUCGAGCGAACGGACGAGAAGCUUGCUUCUCUGAUGUUAGCGGCGGACGGGUGAGUAACACGUGGAUAACCUACCUAUAAGACUGGGAUAACUUCGGGAAACCGGAGCUAAUACCGGAUAAUAUUUUGAACCGCAUGGUUCAAAAGUGAAAGACGGUCUUGCUGUCACUUAUGGAUGGAUCCGCGCUGCAUUAGCUAGUUGGUAAGGUAACGGCUUACCAAGGCAACGAUGCAUAGCCGACCUGAGAGGGCGAUCGGCCACACUGGAACUGAGACACGGUCCAGACUCCUACGGGAGGCAGCAGUAGGGAAUCUUCCGCAAUGGGCGAAAGCCUGACGGAGCAACGCCGCGUGAGUGAUGAAGGUCUUCGGAUCGUAAAACCCUGUUAUUAGGGAAGAACAUAUGUGUAAGUAACUGUGCACAUCUUGACGGUACCUAAUCAGAAAGCCACGGCUAACUACGUG